CUCAUAUCCCAUAAAGCUAUCAGGAAGGAUGCCCCGCUGUCUGCUGUGAGUAGCUGAGGGCGCAAGGGGCUCAGGUAGGAGGUGGGGGUGGCAAGGGAGCUGUGCCCAGCUUGGGAAAGCCCUCAUCCCAGGGUUUGAAAUGGGUUCCACAGUCUCCAGGCACUGCCUGAUGCUUUCAGCCAAGGAAGUUCCAUGACGGUGUCUGUGUUCUAGAAAGUUCCUCCAGAGGGAAAAUGGAGGAUUAACUGGAGGGUGUGGGAGGACUGAUGAGGGAAAGCAGUGGGUGUGUAAAGAAGGAGGACUAAACAGUGUAUUUCCAAACGUCCAGGGACACUGGUGCAGGUGGCUGAGGGCCGAGUUCUAAGAGUCAUGAGAAAUAAAGACCUGCAGGACGGGCUGACAGCUGGGGUCUAGAGAGGAGUUCACAUUGUUCUCCCAGGACGAUAAGCCUGAGCCUGCAGGGAGCAUUAGGAGAGGAGGAGCAUGAGGAGUGUGACCUGUCGGGGCAGCCCACUCCAGGGGUCUCCUCUGAUGGGGCCUUCGUGCGUGGCCCAGCAUUCCAGCUUUCCACAGGAUUUCAACAUGUGAAUUUGGGGGGACAGAGACAUCCAGUCCGCAGCAUUAAUCAUUCCAUGUGGCCCAGUGUUUCGUUGGUUCGAAUCCUGGGCGCAGACAUGGCACUGCUCAUCAAACCAUGCUGAGGCAGCAUCCCACAUGCCACAACUAGAAGGACCCACAACAAAGAAGAUACAACUAUGUACCAGGGGGCUUUGGGGAGAAAAAGGAAAAAAUAAAAUCUUUAAAAAAAAAAAAAGAAAACGAGGUGGGGCCUUUGGAAGAUGGUUGGGUCACAAGGGUGGAGCCCUCAUGAAUGGGGUUAGUGGCCUUGUAAAAGUGACUCCAGAGAGCUUGCUUCCUCUCAAUCUCCACCACAUGGGGACACAGAGAGGACAGCCAUCUGCAAACCAGGAAGUGUGUUCUCACUAGAACCGAGUCAGCUGGCCCCUUGGCCUGGCACUUCCCAGCCUUCAGAGCUGUGAAAAGUAAGUGUUUGUCGUUAAGCCACCCAGUCUGCGGUAUUUUCUUAUAGCAGCCCGAAAGGACCAAGAAAGAGUGACUCGAUGUAUAUUGCUAAGUGAAAAAUGCAAAGCCCAAGAGAUUAUAUUAUACUAUCUUUGGGGCAAGAAAGAGGAG
rnacentral:lncRNA from 1 species